ensembl:lncRNA
GUCAGUAGAUCCUUCCUCAGAGGAAUCGGCCAAGGAGGGGCUGUCGCGAGGAGCACCAGUUCGGGAACCAGGUCCGCGUGGGCCAAUACGGCGCCACUAGCAAGACUUGCUCCUCGUCCUCCCGGACUUUGCACAGUGUCUGUGCAAGAAGGCUCACUGGGGGAAACGCAUACUUGCGUAGGCCCCGCGGCCAGCUGUGUGCCAGUGCAUCCCUGCCGAGAGUUCCCUCGGUCAGGGAGUAGAACAACUGGCAGUGAGCGGUCUCUGGAGAAGCAAACAGGUCUACCUGAGCGGCUCCGAACCGUCUCCAAAUCAGCUGGACCGUCAGGGGGCAAAGUCCGGGAGGACGAGGAGCAAGUCUUGCUAGUGGCGCCGUAUUGGCCCACGCGGACCUGGUUCCCCGAACUGGUGCUCCUCGCGACAGCCCCUCCUUGGCCGAUUCCUCUGAGGAAGGAUCUACUGACUCAGAGACGGGGCACUCAUUUGGCACCCGCGUCCAGACCUUUGGAAACUCCAUGUCUGGUCCCUGGACGGGACGCGGAGGUUCUAGGUGACCUGCCCCAGGAGGUAGCGAACACCAUCACUUCGGCAAGAGCACCGUCUACGAGACACGCUUACGCCUUGAAGUGGAACCUGUUCGUCGAGUGGUGUUCUUCUCGCCGAGAAGACCCCCGAAGAUGCCCGAUUGCGGUUGUGCUUUCCUUUCUGCAGCAAGGGCUGGAGCGAAGGCUGUCUCCCUCCACCCUCAAAGUCCAGGUUGCCGCUAUUGCUGCGUACCAUGACCCCGUGAAUGGGAAGUCUUUAGGUAAGCAUGACCUCGUCAUCAGGUUCCUUAGAGGGGCCAGGAGGUUAAAUCCUUCCCGGCCCCCCUCCAUACCCUCUUGGGACCUGACUCUGGUGCUAAAAUCACUACAGCAGGGCCCAUUCGAGCCUUUGCAUUCAGUCGAGCCAAAGUUUCUUUCAUUGAAAACUCUGCUCCUGCUUGCACUGGCCUCCAUCAAGAGGGUAGGGGACCUGCACGCAUUUUUCGGUCGACGAUUCGUGCCUAGAGUUUGGGCCGGCUGACUCCCAGGUAAUCCUGAGGCCCCGGCCCGGCUACGUGCCCAAGGUUCCCACUACACCCUUCAAAGACCAAGUGGUGAACCUGCAAGCGCUGCCCCUGGAGGAGGCAGACCCAGCCCUAGCUUUGCUCUGUCCCGUCCGAGCAUUGAGAUGCUACGUAGACCGGACACAAAGCUUCAGGACCUCAGACCAGCUCUUUGUCUGUUACGGAGGCCGGCAGAAGGGGAAUGCCGUCUCUAAGCAGAGGAUGGCCCACUGGAUUGUGGAUGCCAUAGCCCUGGCUUAUCAGGCACAGGGUGUGCCCUGCCCGUUCAGGUUGCGAGCUCACUCGACAAGAAGUGUUGCAUCCUCCUGGGCGCUGGCUCGUGGCGCCUCGCUGACAGAUAUUUGUAGAGCUGCGGGCUGGGCGACCCCUAACACGUUCGCUAGGUUCUAUAGCCUUCGUGUAGAGCCGGUAUCCUCCUGUGUUCUCACCUCAAACGGGUAGUGGCACCGAGAGGCCCCGGGUAGUGUCGGCUUGCUAAAACCGCUCCAGAGUGUCCGUACUGCAGACCCUGUUGAGAUCCUCCAUCACCCUAGGCAGCUGGACGCGGCGGAACGUCCGGCGCCAGGCCUUCAUGAUGAAUCCGUGAGAACCAUGGAAGGCUGGGUUCCAUAUUGAGACUUAAACGGUACUCAUAUGCGUAUAGUCCACGGUAUAGCCUUAGAGCCCGUGUUUCCCCGGCAGACUUCUGCCUUCCAAGAGGGUUUUAAUCACCUCAAAUUUCUCCAUAUACACCUAAACGGAUGCUAUGUGUGUAUUUGCUCCCGAGACCUCCUUCGGGAAGGAUGGGGCUUCCGCAGCGUCCCUGUUCCAAGCGAACGGGUACGUUUUCCCAGUGUUAUCCAAUCUCACCCAGUGAGGUAGUGCUUUGACAAUGGUGAGUGGAACUACUUGUUCCGAGCCCCGGCCUACACCUAAUAGGGGCGCAGGCGGCUCGCACAGGGCACUGGAAGGGGCAGCACCCAUGGCGCUUUGGUAGGGAUCCCAUUUUCGUCGGUCACCGACGUGGCGUCGAGAGUGACCGACUGAAAGGGAACGUCUCGGUUACGUAUGGUAACCCUCGUUCCCUGAAGGAGGGAACGGAGACGCCACGUCCCCGUCGCCAUGGUUACUGUACCGCCGCUGAGCUGCCGGGUCUCCGGCUCGGCUCCUCAGCGAAAAGCUGGUAUGCAUUGCACCUGCUGCCUUCUUAUACUCACGCUGUGAUCAGCGGCAGCUGGAUGCAAUAAUUGCAUGCCAAUGUGCAUUGGCUCGUUUAGUUUACACUCGAAGUAGAUUGGUCUAUCGAAGUGAUAUCCCAUUUUCGUCGGUCACCGACGUGGCGUCUCCGUUCCCUCCUUCAGGGAACGAGGGUUACCAUACGUAACCGAGACGUUUUUCUGCAUGAAGAGGUGAAAAAAAAUAACUAAUCCAUUACCAGCCACACCAAACGACCUCAAACACCACAAACCAGAAGAACUUCAUUGUGCAUUGAUC